CCUGGCUUCCCUUCCCAGGAGGGCAGCAAAGAAAAGAAACGGGCAGCUCCAAAGGCCUCUCGGAUCAGGACUUGGGAUGCUGCCUUCUGGGAAUCUCCAGCCACAGAGUUUCCUUCCAGAGGUUAAAGUAUGUGUGAGCUUCAUCAUCACAUCUACAAUGAAACUGCUUCAUCAUCACAUCUACAGUCAGAAUUGCUGCUGACUACAGGGCCCUGGAAGGAUGGUGGGAUGUUGGAAAAGAAGAUACCCAGGCACAAUAGGAGCCUGGUAGAUGUGAUGAUUAGAACAAAAACCUGGAAAGGUUGAGAGAGAGGGAAAGAGGGCUUUGUCCGGAGCGUUGAUUAAACUUCCCGGUAGGCAUGAACAGCCUUGGUUUGUAAAUGGGAGGGUGAAACAUGCAGGUCUGCCGCUCACAUGCUGCCCUUAUUGGAAAACCCUUCCAUUGCCCUCCUUAGCUGAGCUUCCUCACAGAAUGGCCUUUUGCCUCCAAAACAUGCACAUUUUUUAAAGACUGUAUAUUGCCCUCGUAGGAAUUACUUCUGUGGCUAGAGGCAGAAAAACAGGAAAGAAAAGGUCCACCACAUUUGUGCAUUUCAGUUUACGGUGCACAACCUAAGAAGCCUUGUGAUUUGUCCCAUAGCUAGUCUUCACUUAGAUAGCAUUUACCCAAAAUUGGCUAAAACCUUCCUUAAAGUGAUUCAGCUACGAGUUUUGAUAUGUUGGGAGCAAAGGAAGCUAUGUUACAUGUAUCAAGUUAGACCACAGAAGCUCUCCAGUGUUUAGCGAGGGAACAUUCCCAGCCUUACUUGGAGACAUGGGAGAUUUAACCUGUGUACAAAGCAUGCACUCUACUGUUCUACCACAGUAUCUGUGGGCUUUUGAUUGUUUUCACAAAUACCGUAUUUUUUGCACCAUAACGCUCACUUUUUUCCUCCUAGAAAGUGAGGGGAAAUGUCUGUGCGUGUUAUGGAACGAAUGCCUACGGAUGGCGGGGGGAUCUGCUGCAGUCGUGAGCAGAGGAUCCAUGGUUCCCCUUCCUUCCCUCCUCCGUGGCUUGCUUUGAAACAGCAAAGCGGGAGAAGAGCCGCUGAGUGGGGAGGAGAGAGGGACAGAGAGCCUGCUUGCUUUAAAGGAGUAAAGCGGGAGAGGAGAGGAGCCACUUACACGAGUCCAGAGCUGUUUUUUCCAGUGAGCCGGGGAGGAGGGAGAGAACAGCUCACUAAAUAGCAGCAAAGUUUUUUGCAAGCAGGCUCUCUGUCCCUCUCUCCUCCCCACUCAGCUGGCUUAAUAGCAGCAAAGUUUUUCAGCGAGCCGGGGAGGAGGGAGAGAAGCAGAGCCUUUAAAGGAGCAAAGCAGGAGAGGAGAGGAGCCUUCUCCUCUUAUACCCCUCUUCUGCAUUAUUAACAGCAUCCUUCUCCACCCACCACACGCGUGUUCCUUGUCCCUUGAGUGCUUUUCCUUCCCUCCCCACUUAAAACGUGGUUACAAAGCACGGAUCCACAUGGAUCCUCAGGAUUUUUGCACUGGGUCACCCCAAAUUCACCAUCAGAUGACAUAACAUGUCCAUGGCUACAGCUUGCACCAAAAAAACACGCACCCACUGUUGCCUGGGGCUGCAGUGGUGCAAAAACGUGGUUACAAAGCACAGAUCCACAUGGACCCUCAGGAUUUUUGCAUUGGGCUACCCCAAACUCACCGUCAGAUCACAUGUCUGUGGCCACAGCAUGAACCACAAAAAUCAUACAUCCACUGUUUCGUUUAGAAUAUUUUUUUUUCUUGUUUUCCUCCUCUAAAAACUAUGUGUGUGUUAUGGUCGGGUGCGUGUUAUAGAGCGAAAAACACGGUAUCUACAGAAUUUCCCAGACUAGAAUCACAGAGGUAUCAGAAAUCUGCUGUUAUCCAAGAGCUUCUAGUGUUACUUUCCGUAUCAAGUGGAAUGCCUUAUCUAAUAAUAAUAGUUAUAAUAAUUUUAUUAGUUAUGCCCUGCCCAUCCAGCUGGGUCUCCCCAGCCACCCUGGGCGGCUUCCAACACACAUAAAAACAUAAUAUAACAUCAAACAUAAAAAUAUGAAGAUGCACUCCCAAGGCUUACUCCUUCAGAUGUUUGAGGAAGGGAUUAAUUCGGCACACACGGAGAGAAAUCUAGCCUGUUACUUGCUUAGUUCUGAAAUGAAGGCAAUCCUGACCACAAAAUCCCAUUUCCCAUCAUUAGCUCUACGCAGAAGCACACCUACCUCAGAAUUAGUUGCUGGUUUUUCAGUUGCUGCAGAUCACAAGUGUACAACAGAUCUUGUUCUGGAUCUAUAAAAUACACAUAUUGGAAUCAUGCAUGCAGGCAAGGAGGGUAUUGAUUACUGGCUAGUCCCAGUCACGCUCGCCAAAGGAAAGCAUGCAGUAUGCAGUCUCAAGUGUGUGCUGGUUUCCCUAGUAAGUUCAUUAUUAAACUCUAUCCUUCCAGCAGGAGAUUAACCAUCCCAGCAAGUUACUCACUGACGUCACCCCUUAGCCUCCAGACGGCAAUCUGCCCCUGACCUCAGCUUCUCCAGUGGCAGCAGAGCAGAGCGGUGCUGGCUGGCAGCGGACUUGAGGACAGCUGGCCUUGAAGAACCCUAACAAAGAUAAAGACUCAGACACAGCUCUAGCUGCUAUACAGAAGCAGGUCAACAGCGCUGGCCUACAAUGGAAAGGCUGCCCAACUAAGUCAAGGAAGAAUCACGUGUAGAAGGACUGUAGAAUAAUAUUCUUCUUAUGCCUUAAACAAACAAACCAAAUCUGCACACCCAGUUUCCAUUUCUUAGUAAAUACAUGAAAAGCAGAGCAAUCCCAUGAUUCAGUGCAGGCUGUUAUACUGACAAGGAGGGUUGUUUUUUUUAAUUAUUAUUUCUUGCUUCACACAUAAAUGUCUACUACCAACCUGCUCUAUAUAAUGCUGAGGAUCCAUCUGUCAACACAGACAUCCAAAGUCUGUCCUACAGCCAUUUCCAAGUAACAGACACAAAGACAGUGAGACAGACUGCAUAACUGGAAGGACACCCCCCCCCUUGAAAAACAACAACAACCUGGCAACAAGAGGGGGAAACCCAUCUUCAUUACAUUUACAUCAUCAUAUAAAUGUUUGCAUUGCUGCUGAAUAUGUGGGGGUGGAAUAAAAAAAAAAACCCAAAGCA